UACGGAGGGUGCAAGCGUUAUCCGGAUCCACUGGGUUUAAAGGGUGCGUAGGUGGGCUAGUAAGUCCGUGGUGAAAUCUCCAAGCUUAACUUGGAAACUGCCGUGGAUACUAUUAGUCUUGAAUAUUGUGGAGGUAAGCGGAAUAUGUCAUGUAGCGGUGAAAUGCUUAGAUAUGACAUAGAACACCGAUAGCGAAGGCAGCUUGCUACACAAUCAUUGACACUGAGGCACGAAAGCGUGGGGAUCAAACAGG
rnacentral:rRNA from 1 species